AGGGUACGUGUUAGUGUAUGGGUUAGGAUUAGGGUAUGGGUUAGGAUUAGGGUAUGGGGACGGUUUAGGAUACAGGUUAGGAUAUGACAAUGGUUUAGGU